UACAGAGGUCUCAAGCGUUGUUCGGAUUCAUUGGGCGUAAAGGGUGCGUAGGUGGCGCGCUAAGUCGGGUGUGAAAUUUCGGAGCUUAACUCCGAAACUGCAUUCGAUACUGGCGUGCUUGAGGACUGGAGAGGAGACUGGAAUUCAUGGUGUAGCAGUGAAAUGCGUAGAGAUCGGGAGGAACACCUGUGGCGAAAGCGGCUCACUGGACCACAACUGACGCUGAUGCGCGAAAGCUAGGGGAGCAAACAGG
rnacentral:rRNA from 1 species